rnacentral:rRNA from 1 species
CGGGACGGGGUGGAGUAAUGUCUGGGAAACUGCCCGAUGGAGGGGGAUAACUACUGGAAACGGUAGCUAAUACCGCAUAACGUCGCAAGACCAAGAGGGGACCUUCGGGCCUCUUGCCAUCGGAUGUGCCCAGAUGGGAUUAGCUAGUAGGUGGGGUAACGGCUCACCUAGGCGACGAUCCCUAGCUGGUCUGAGAGGAUGACCAGCCACACUGGAACUGAGACACGGUCCAG